CCUACGGGAGGCAGCAGUGGGGAAUAUUGCACAAUGGGGGAAACCCUGAUGCAGCAACGCCGCGUGAGUGAAGAAGUAUUUCGGUAUGUAAAGCUCUAUCAGCAGGGAAGAAACUGACGGUACCUGACUAAAAAGCCCCGGCUAACUACGUGCCAGCAGCCGCGGUAAUACGUAGGGGGCAAGCGUUAUCCGGAUUUACUGGGUGUAAAGGGAGCGUAGACGGCUGUACAAGUCUGAAGUGAAAGCCCGGGGCUCAACCGCGGAACUGCUUUGGAAACUGUAAGGCUGGAGUGCUGGAGAGGCAGGCGGAAUUCCUAGUGUAGCGGUGAAAUGCGUAGAUAUUAGGAGGAACACCGGUGGCGAAGGCGGCCUGCUGGACAGAAACUGACGUUGAGGCUCGAAAGCGUGGGGAGCGAACAGGAUUAGAUACCCGAGUAGUC
rnacentral:rRNA from 1 species